UGGCUCAGUUGUUAGAGCAUGGUGUUUGCAAUGCCAGGGUUGUGGGUUCGAUUCCCAU
rnacentral:tRNA from 1 species